GUCACGAUAGCUCAACUGGUUAGAGCAGCGGCUUAUCGAGCUGAAGAUCGUGGGUUCGAAUCCCGCUCGUGACA
rnacentral:ncRNA from 13 species